GGGAAGGAGCCGGCGCGGUAGCGGCACGUCAUACACACACUCUUCGGUUUCCGCAUUUAUGAGAUUUACUGGGAUUGUACUCUGAUAUUUGAUGGGAUGUACGGUUUGGCUUUUGAGAACAUGGUUGCAAUGUGUUAUGGUGUGAACAAACAAUGUUUCUUUUUAUUUAGACAAUGUUUUUAUUUAUUAAUGUUUUCUAAAGUAAUAUCAAAAAAAAAAAAAAAUAAAAUUUGGGUCGUUACAAGUUGGUAUCAGAGCCCUGGUUUGAGGGAUUCGGACACGCCUUCGGGAGUGUUUGGACUCAAACCGAGGGAUUGAAAGAUUUUUCCAAAAGAAAUUAUUCUUUAAAACCCGGAAAAGAGUCACGAGAAAGAGUAAAGUGUGUGACGUGCGCGACCGGCCGAGCUCAAGUAAGUAUUCCCCAUAGUACCCAUACAAGUUUAUGUUAUGUUUAUCAGCUUUAUGAAUAUUGCAUGCUAGAAUAGGCUAAGGAUCUAGGAGUGAUGCCUUAUGUGCCUGUUUAUUUGUUCCAGCUUAUUGAAUAUUGCAUGCUAGAAUUGAGUAGACAGCAGUAGGGUAGCCUGUUUAGGUUAUGCCUGAUAGUAUGAGCUUAGCAUCCUAUGUUAAGUGUCGUUUCUUGUUCUAAGAACAGUUUUGGCUUGAGUCUGUUUUUCCUUAUCCGAAUGCUGCUUGCUUCGUGCUCGGUGGGAUUCUGAGUAAUGGGAGUGAGCCACUAGGUAAACACGUCACACCACAUGUAAUCAGGGUUGAAUAAUCCCAAAGUGUUGGAACUGGCCCUAUUGCGCAGCUCUUGUUUGAGUCCAACCGUUGUAGGGACGGAUCUUUUACUUGAAGGAUUAUCUAAUCCUCAUUACAUGUGAUGGUGUUUAGGUGGUGGCUAACUGGCAUUAUGAGGAGACCUACAGCAGCUGAGGACCAGUUGUGUUGAACUUGAGUUCUCCCUAGGGCAAGCCUAGGGUGAGAAUAUCGGAGAGUAGCAGUAGUAGAGGGGAGUUGGUGGAGUCGAGGAAUUCCUCGGAGAAGGUACGGAUAGAUGUGGAAGGUAGUAUGGGCCCGUACUACUGAAAGCAGAGGAUCCGUACCCGAGCCGAGGAAGGCCAAGACGAGACCAAGGAACCUGUAAGUAGUUGAGAUCCCUCAGAAAGUAGCAGUACCACUAAUGAUUAUUAUUGAUGUUUUGCAGAAUGGUGGUACUUCGACCGAGACCGACAGAUGGCGGGUCAGGAGAGGGGUCAGGUUCGGGAUCUGGCACCGAGCCGAUUGAGGAGAGGCUACGUGAGUUCAUCACGUCGGAGAUCACUAGGGGCAUCCUUGAGUCGACCCCCAUCAUCUUUGGGUCGAUCAAGGAAGGGAUCGUGGAGAUGAUGGAGGAUCGCCUACGGGCAUUCAGGAGCGACUUGGCCUCUAGCCAGUCAGGAUCUCGCACACUGUCCUUCAAGGACUUCAGGAGCAGUGGUGCGCCGGAUUUCCAUGGGGUGAAGGACCCCAUUGUCGCCAGGCGGUGGAUUGCGGAUAUCGAGUCCGCCCAGUUGAUCAGCUUCUGCCCCGAGGGGUCGAAGGUGAGGUACGCAGCAGGGUGUUUACGGGACCGGGCCCGAGAUUGGUGGGAGUCAGUGGGUGACUCGAUGGGAGCCUCGGCUGUCGAGGCAAUGACCUGGUCGGACUUUGUGACUAGGUUCAGGGCAGAGUUUGCGCCAGCGGUCGAGCUUCAGCAGCUGGCCAGGGAGUUCUUAGACAUGAGGCAGACGACAGAGACCGUGGCGGAGAUCACCGCCAAGUUUCGGGAGAGGGCUUUAUUGGUGCCCCAGUAUGCAGGUGACGAGGAUAUGAGGAGGACUCGUUACCACGACAUGCUACGAGCUGACAUUCGGGAGCAUGUUAGCUUUUCGGCUUGCCCUACCCUGGACUCCAUGAUUGCCAGGGCUAGGGAGAGAGAGAUAGAUUUGGAGCACAUCCGGAAACGGAAACUUGAGGAUGGUCAGUCAUCGGGGGCUUCGGGGAAGAAGCCCAAGGGAUCAGAUGGGAGGCCGAAAGGCCAGUCGGGACCGAGCCGCUGCAGGAGGUGCGGCAGGCCGCACGAGGGGGCGUGCAGGAUGGGAUCGUCAGGCUGCUACAAGUGCGGCAAGUUUGGGCAUAUCAGCAGGGAUUGCACUGCUCCUGCGACCGUUAUUCAGACAUCGGAGUUGCUGUGUUUCCACUGCAACCAGAGGGGCCACAAGAAGGCCAAUUGCCCCAUGUUGACAGCUUCAGCGCCAGUGAAGGCGCCAGCUCCAGCGACCCUGCGGAUCACGGAUGGCCGUCAGGGCAAGGCAGAGGCUCCAGUGGUGAGGAGUCGGGCAUUUCAGUUGACUGCCGAGGAGGCACGCGCCGCGCCCGAUGUGGUGACGGGUAUGAUUCCUUCCUUCUAUCUUUUAUUUUACGUUGUUAUGAUAUUGAUAUGUGCUCCGUGUGUAUACAUGUGUAUUAGGAUCGUUCCAUGUGAACGGCAUCCCGGUUCAGGUAUUGUUCGACUCGGGUGCAUCCCGAUCGUUCGUUUCUCUUGCUCUUAGCAAGAGAUUUCAUGAGACUUCAGGCGAGUUAGAUUGCCCGUUAGAGGUAGAGAUUGCCGAUGAUCGAUCGGUGCGAGCAUCGAUGGUGUUUCGAGAUUGUGUCCUGCGACUGUUUGAGGAGUGUUACCUGGUAGACUUGGUUCCCAUUCCAUUGCGUGGGAACAAGGUGAUUAUUGGUAUGGAUUGGUUGAGCCCUAAUGGGGCAGUGAUAGAUUGCGCACAGCAGCUAGUGCGAGUCAAGACCCCAAGCGGGGGAGAGUUAGUGAUUCAUGGAGAGCGGCCGCAGUGUGGACCCACUGUAUGUUCAGCAGCGAGGGCUAGGCGCUACCUUCAGCAGGGAUGCGCGGGUUAUGUCGCGUACGUGAUGGACACCCGGGAGGCGGGUAAGGCGACCGUGAGCGAGGUCCCGGUGGUUCGAGAUUUUGCUGAUGUUUUUCCGGAGGAACUACCUGGGAUACCUCCGGAGCGACAGGUGGAGUUCAGGAUUGACCUCGUUCCCGGUGCGGCUCCGAUAGCCAAAGCACCGUAUCGGUUGGCUCCUCCCGAGAUGCAGGAGUUGUCUACGCAGCUGCAGGAGCUGCUGGACAAGGGAUUUAUUCGGCCGAGCAGUUCGCCCUGGGGAGCCCCGAUUCUGUUUGUGAAGAAGAAGGAUGGGUCGCAUCGGAUGUGUAUAGAUUAUCGGGAGCUGAACAAGGUAACGGUGAAGAACCGUUACCCGCUUCCGAGGAUUGAUGACCUCUUUGACCAGCUUCAGGGCGCAUCUUGGUUCUCCAAGAUUGAUUUGCGUUCGGGUUAUCAUCAGAUGAGGGUCAGGGAGGAGGAUAUGCAGAAGACCGCGUUUCGGACGCGCUAUGGCCAUUACGAGUUUGUGGUGAUGCCGUUUGGGCUCACCAAUGCUCCUGCCGCGUUCAUGGACCUCAUGAACCGUGUAUGCAGACCGAUGCUGGACCGGUCUGUGAUAGUCUUUAUCGAUGAUAUCUUGGUUUAUUCCAAGACCCGGGAGGAACAUGAGGAGCAUUUGAGAGAGGUGUUAGAGACCCUGAGGAGGGAGAGCUUGUAUGCCAAGUUCUCCAAGUGUGAGUUUUGGUUGCGCGAGGUGCAAUUUCUGGGGCACCUCGUCAACCAGAACGGGAUUCUGGUCGAUCCGGCCAAGGUCGAGGCCGUGAUGAGAUGGGAGGUUCCGAAGUCCCCAUCUGAGAUUCGGAGCUUCCUAGGAUUGGCAGGCUACUAUCGGAGAUUUAUCCAGGAUUUCUCCAAGAUAGCCGUGCCCCUGACGCGGCUGACGAAGAAAGCCGUGGUCUUUCGGUGGGGACCCGAGCAGCAGGCUGCAUUUGAGACGCUGAGACAGAGAUUGUGUGAGGCGCCGAUCUUAGCCCUGCCAGAGGGCGUAGAGGAUUUCGUGGUUUAUUGCGAUGCGUCCAUUUCUGGGUUGGGCGCGGUGCUGAUGCAAAGGGGGCAUGUCAUUGCUUACGCUUCGAGGCAGCUCAAGCCUCACGAGGCGAACUACCCGACGCACGAUUUGGAGUUGGGGGCGGUGGUAUUUGCCCUCAAGAUUUGGCGACAUUACCUCUAUGGGGUUCGGUGUACCAUCUACACGGACCACAAGAGCUUGAGGUACCUCAUGGACCAGCCGAAUCUGAACAUGAGGCAGCGUCGGUGGUUGGAUGUGGUGAAGGAUUAUGAUUGCGAGAUCCUUUACCACCCGGGAAAGGCCAAUGUGGUGGCCGAUGCGCUUAGCCGCAAGACGGCGCCGAUCAGGGACGCCUGUUUGAGGAUGACUGUGGUGACUCCCCUGUUGGAGCAGAUUCGGGAAGCUCAACAGGAGGCUAUCAAGGAGGAGCAUCGGAAGAACGAGCGCGUAGUAGGUCAGGUUUCCUCCUUCGAUUAUGAUAGCCGAGGGUUAUUGACACUACACCAUAGGGUGUGGGUGCCGUAUCACGGGGGCGUGCGCCAGAUUUUGAUGGAGGAGGCGCACAAGUCCCGAUUCUCUAUUCAUCCCGGGGCGACGAAGAUGUAUAGGGAUCUUCGUCUAGACUAUUGGUGGCCCUGCAUGAAGCGGGAUGUGGCAUGGUACGUCGAGCGGUGCUUGACCUGCAGGAAGGUCAAGGCCGAACAUCAGAGGCCGCAUGGCAAGAUGCAGCCGUUGGACAUUCCACUGUGGAAGUGGGAAGAUAUCACGAUGGAUUUUAUCACGAAGCUUCCCAGGACCGCGCGUGGAGUGGAUUCGAUUUGGGUCAUCGUGGAUAGAUUGACCAAGAGUGCUCACUUUAUUCCGAUUCCGGAGAGCAUAUCGGCCGAGAAAUUGGCCGACAUCUAUAUCAGGGAGAUUGUGGCACGGCAUGGGGUGCCAGUAUCGGUGAUCUCGGACAGGGAUGUGCGUUUUACUUCCAGGUUUUGGAAGAGAUUCCAUGACGAGUUGGGCACUCGUCUGCAUUUCAGCACCGCCUUUCACCCGCAGACAGAUGGACAGAGUGAGCGGACCAUCCAGACUUUGGAGGACAUGUUGCGGGCGUGUGUUCUGGAUUUCGGUGGUAGCUGGGAUACCUAUCUUCCCCUGGCUGAGUUCUCCUACAACAACAGCUAUCACGCGAGUAUCGACCGCCCUCCCUUCGAGAUGUUGUACGGACGGAGGUGUAGGACCCCGAUAUGCUGGGGUGAGGUUGGCCAGAGAGUCAUGGGAAGCACCGAAGUGGUGCUCAAGACGACUGAGAGGAUACAGCAGGUCCGGAGCAGGCUUCAGACUGCUCAGAGUCGGCAGAAAAGUUAUGCCGACAAGCGUCGAUCCGAUUUAGAGUUCCAGGUCGGGGAUAUGGUUCUCCUGAAGGUGUCGCCGUGGAAAGGCGUCAUCCGAUUCAGGAAGCGGGGCAAGUUGGGCCCGCGAUUCAUCGGACCGUUCAGGGUCUUAGCCCGGGUGGGCAAGGUAGCAUAUAGGCUGGAUCUGCCAGCCGAGCUUAGCCAGAUCCACAGCACUUUCCAUGUUUCUCAGUUGCGAAAGUGCCUAGUGGACGAUUCUGCAGUAGUACCUUUGGAGGAUAUUCAGGUUGAUGACAGCCUGAAUUACAUUGAGCGCCCAGUCGCAAUCCUCGACAGGAAGUCGAAGGAUUUGAGGAACAAGAAGGUGGAGCUAGUGAAGGUGCAAUGGCAGCACCGCAAGGGUUCGGAAUGGACUUGGGAGCCGGUGGACGAGAUGAUGGAGCAUUAUCCCGAGCUGUUUCAGGAUCGAGCAGCAGACUUCGAGGACGAAGUCUAAAAUAAGUGGGGGAGAUUUGUAGCACCCGGUUCCUGGUACGUAAAUGUUAUUUGAGUAUUUCCUUUCUUUUAGCCUUGGACUCGGCGAGUCAUAGGUCCGACUCGCCGAGUGGAUGCGGGACCCGGGACACGUUUAAGUUGGCGACUCGGCGAGUCCAUAUCCUGGACUCGGCGAGUCACAGCUGUUGGAUGAAACCCUAAGUUUCAGGGGUUUGCACCCUAUUUAAAGGACUUAUCAGCCCCAAGCCGGCCCCCAUUGACCCUUAAAGCCCUGUAUCUCUCGUUCUAAGCUAUUCUUUGAGAGUUUGAGGUUAGUGUGUGUGUUUUUGAAGGUUUGGAAGGAGGAAGGAAGUAGAUCCAGAAGAAGGGAAGCCAUCCAGGCAUUAUUUGUGUUCUUCCAGCAGUUCCUUUGAGGUAUAACCCGUUUUCCCCUUGAUUCUAUGCUUAAAACUUCAUUUGGGUCCUUCUUGGUCAAAUCCCCAAGCUUGUAUGUGCAUUGUAUGUUGUAAUAAGGCGUUUGGCCUUUGGAUCUAGGCAAGAUUGAGCUCCAGGGGCUCAGAUCUGUUAGCUUUUUGGCCCCAUGUUGCUUGUUAGCCCUAGAUCUACCCUUUUGAGACAUUUUGAGCCCUAAAAUCCAUAUUGGUGAAUAUCCACACGUAAAGUUGGAAACUUUACGUGUGAUUCGUGUCCUAGAAGUCCAGAUCUGUGAAUGGCAUGGACUGGAAUCGAGCAAAUCCGUGUAUUCAGUAGGUGCAUGGCAACGACUCGGCGAGUCGUUCAUAUGACUCGGCGAGUCUGUUCGCGAGUCUCCGAGUUUGUCCCCUUUUCGUAGUGUCGAGUGAGCAGUGAGUCACGGGGUGUGACUCAGUGAGUCGGAAGCUUAACUCAUCUAUGGAGGUACUCGGCGAGUCAAUGCCCUGACUCGACGAGUUCAAGGCAAUCUCCUUAGAUCAAGAUCAGUCUCGACGAGUUGUUCAUACAACUUGACGGGUCGCUGCAUGAGUGUUCUUCGGAUGAAGAUGGACUUGACGAGUUGUUCAUACAACUCGGCGAGUCUUAGCAUAAGUGUUCAUCGGAUGAAGAUGAACUCGACGAGUUGUUCAUACAACUCGGCGAGUAGGAUGAAGGACUUAAAUAUUGGUUAAGAAGUUGAACCCGUCGAGUCGUCGCCCAACUCGACGAGUAGGACCAGGAUUCAGGGCAGUCGUUUGCGUAGGGACUCGGCGAGUUGGAAAGCCAACUCGGCGAGUCGAGGUCAACUGAAAGUUGACUCUGACUUUGACUUAGGGCAAGGUUAGGGGUUAAAUGGUCAUUUUACCCAAACAUCAGUGAGCAGUGUUUGAUUGAGUAUAUUGUGGGAAUUGCAGCCGAAGGGUUCCUGGAGCAGCAGCAACAAUAGUAGGUGAUCAAUUCCCACACAGACCAGCAGCUAUUUCGGGGUGAGUUUCCUUUCCAGUAGGAACGGGUCCAAGGCACCAAGGCCGACCCGUGUAGACGAGAUGCUAGUACUAGAGUGUGGGCCGAGCCCGUAUCUCUGGGUUUAGUCAAGUAUGAUAUAUGUGUUAAUAUGAUAGAGUUGCUUAUACUUGUUGUCUGCGUGAUACUUGUAUGUUAUGGGUUAGCGGUUGAGUGUGGGCAGGGCCCGUAUCUCUCCGAGGUUGGAGUGUGGGCUAGGCCCGUAUCUCCCAGAUAGCGNCAAUGGUUAUUAUAUGUUGCAUGGUAUGUGGUAUUAUGGGGGAACUCACUAAGCUUUGUGCUUACAGUUUUCAGUUUUGGUUUCAGGUACCUCCUCAGCUAGGGGAAAGGAGCCGGCGCAGUAGCGACACGUCACACACACACUCUCCGGUUUCCGCAUUUACGAGCUUCACUGGGAUUUGUACUCUGAUAUUUUGAUCGAAUGUAUGAAUUGGCUUUUAGACAUGGUUCACUUGUGUGAUAACUUGAUCAGACAAUGUUUUAGCUUUUAAUAUUUUCUAAAAGUAAUGUUUUUAAAACGAAAUUUUUGGUCAUGACAAUUGGGUCGUUACA
rnacentral:lncRNA from 1 species